rnacentral:rRNA from 1 species
UACGUAGGGUGCAAGCGUUAAUCGGAAUUACUGGGCGUAAAGCGUGCGCAGGCGGUUUUGUAAGUCUGACGUGAAAUCCCCGGGCUCAACCUGGGAAUUGCGUUGGAGACUGCAAGGCUAGAGUCUGGCAGAGGGGGGUAGAAUUCCACGUGUAGCAGUGAAAUGCGUAGAGAUGUGGAGGAACACCGAUGGCGAAGGCAGCCCCCUGGGUCAAGAUUGACGCUCAGGCACGAAAGCGUGGGGAGCAAACAGG